UACGUAGGGUGCAAGCGUUGUCCGGAAUUAUUGGGCGUAAAGAGCUUGUAGGCGGUUUGUCGCGUCUGCUGUGAAAUUUCGGGGCUCAACCCCGAACUUGCAGUGGGUACGGGCAGACUAGAGUGUGGUAGGGGAGACUGGAAUUCCUGGUGUAGCGGUGAAAUGCGCAGAUAUCAGGAGGAACACCGAUGGCGAAGGCAGCUCGCUGGGACGUAACUGACGCUGAGACGCGAAAGCGUGGGGAGCAAACAGG
rnacentral:rRNA from 1 species